GACAGAGGUCUCAAGCGUUGUUCGGAUUCACUGGGCGUAAAGGGCGCGCAGGCGGCCGGGCCCGUCCGGCGUGAAAGCCCGCAGCUUAACUGCGGAAGGGCGUCGGAUACCACCCGGCUCGAGGGUUGGAAGGGGGACUGGAAUUCUCGGUGUAGCGGUGAAAUGCAUAGAGAUCGAGAAGAACACCAGUAGCGAAGGCGAGUCCCUGGACAAUUCCUGACGCUGAGGCGCGAAAGCCGGGGGAG
rnacentral:rRNA from 1 species